rnacentral:rRNA from 1 species
GACGAACGCUGGCGGCGUGCCUAAUACAUGCAAGUUGAGCGAUGAAGAUUGGUGCUUGCCCCAAUUUGAAGAGCAGCGAACGGGUGAGUAACGCGUGGGGAAUCUGCCUUUGAGCGGGGGACAACAUUUGGAAACGAAUGCUAAUACCGCAUAACAACUUUAAACAUAAGUUUUAAGUUUGAAAGAUGCAAUUGCAUCACUCAAAGAUGAUCCCGCGUUGUAUUAGCUAGUUGGUGAGGUAAAGGCUCACCAAGGCGAUGAUACAUAGCCGACCUGAGAGGGUGAUCGGCCACAGUGGGACUGAGACACGGCCCAAACUCCUACGGGAGGCAGCAGGAGGGAAUCUUCGGCAAUGGACGAAAGUCUGACCGAGCAACGCCGCGUGAGUGAAGAAGGUUUUCGGAUCGUAAAACUCUGUUGGUAGAGAAGAACGUUGGUGAGAGUGGAAAGCUCAUCAAGUGACGGUAACUACCCAGAAAGGGACGGCUAACUACGUG